UUUCUCUUUCUCUUUCUCUUUCUCUCUCUCUCUCUCUCUGUGUGUGUGUGUGUGUGUGUGAGAGAGAGAGAGAGAGAGAGAGAGAGAGAGAGAGAAA